UACAGAGGGGGCAAGCGUUAUUCGGAAUUAUUGGGCGUAAAGGGCGCGUAGGCGGCUUGGCAAGUGGAUGGUGAAAUCCCUCGGCUUAACCGAGGAACUGCCGUCCAAACUGCUUGGCUUGAGAUCAGGAGAGGUGAGUGGAAUUCCCAGUGUAGCGGUGAAAUGCGUAGAUAUUGGGAGGAACACCAGUGGCGAAGGCGGCUCACUGGACUGGUACUGACGCUGAGGCGCGAAAGCGUGGGGAGCAAACGGG
rnacentral:rRNA from 1 species